UCUCAGGAGGGUUUGCUGUCACUGACUCCAGGUACACAACCUUGGCCACAGAGUCAGGAGCCCUGGAUACAUCGAGUGAAGCUUUCAGCACCCACUUCAGGCUAAUCUAAUCAAGGUCUCUUCUGUCAUCUGCCAUUUAACAAGCUGACUUAAGAUAUGACCUAAAAUCAAGGAUACCCAGGUCAUUUCCCUUCACCAUCCUCCACUUCUGUUUUGGGAGCAGCUCUCUAAGCAAAUGGUGUAGGUGGGCAUAGAACCAUAGGGCUGAUGAGCUGGAGCAGAGUCUGUUCAUCCUGCAAUCUGUGUUAUGCACUUGAAAUGGCUGAUUAAUGAGAUGUUCAUUAACAAUACAGAUGAAUUUUCAUAUUGUGGCUGGAAUGAUAUUAAAAUUCUUGUAGACAUGUAUGUCCUUCUGAUGGACAGAUGUCCCUUCCUGCCUUUCUCUCUUUAGGGGGAUUUUUUUAUCUUCUGUUUCAAGGGACUUGAUUUUCUGUUGAUUUAUGUCUAUUUUAGGGUCUCUUAUCUCUCUCACUUCUUCUGUUUCUGCUUUCAGAACCUCUCUCAUUCUUUCCUUCAGGGGCCUAUUUCUCUUUGUUCUGUCUCUCAUUUUCUGUGUCUGACACAUCUGCUCCCUCCUCUCUCGAUGUACAGUGUGAUAGAUGGGACAUGACUGGAGAAAAAAAGAAAGUUUCAGUUCUCCCAGCGAGUGGAAAGGUGACCUGCAAACAUCUGAACAAAAAAGGGAAGAAAGUUUAUUUUUAUGUGCUGAAUAUUCUGCACAGCAAGAGAUACAGCACAUUAAGAGACUGCACAGGAGACACUUUAAACACCACCUACUCCACAGUCCAUCCCAUUAAAUUCUGUGCACAGUUUUUCUCUUGGUCAGUGUCUGUGUACACAUACAUAUAAACCCAGCUCUGCUAAUAGAGGGCCUUUUUAGAAACGU